GCUUGAAGGUAAUAAACUCUGAAAAUACUGUGCACAGUGCAAGCCUAACUACCGUACCUUUCAACAAUGAAUCUACCGCAUCAAGCUCGGCACCGCAAACUUGGACAGCUUUAUUUGACGUUUUAGUUAUCUGUGCACGCUUUGAUCAUUCCGGAUAUAAU